CCUACGGGAGGCUGCAGUGGGGAAUAUUGCACAAUGGGCGAAAGCCUGAUGCAGCAACGCCGCGUGAGCGAUGAAGGUCUUCGGGUCGUAAAGCUCUGUCCUAAGGGAAGAAUACUGACGGUACCUUAGGAGGAAGCCCCGGCGAACUACGUGCCAGCAGCCGCGGUAAUACGUAGGGGGCUAGCGUUAUCCGGAAUUACUGGGCGUAAAGGGUGCGUAGGCGGCCCUUCAAGUCAGUGGUGAAAGGCUACGGCUCAACCGUAGUAAGCCUUUGAGACUGUAGGGCUUGAGGGCAGGAGAGGAGAGUGGAACUCCCAGGGUAGGGGUGAAGUGCGUAGAUAUUGGGAGGAACACCAGUUGCGAAGGCGGCUCUCUGGACUGUAACUGACGCUGAGGCACGAAAGUGUGGGGAGCGAACAGGAUUAGAUACCCUAGUAGUC
rnacentral:rRNA from 1 species